CAUGCAGUCGAGCGAGAAGGGGUAGCAAUACCCCGAGUAAAGCGGCGCACGGGUGAGUAACACGUGGGUAAUCUGCCCUGGAGUGGGGAAUAACACCGGGAAACCGGUGCUAAUACCGCAUACGAUCACGAUGUCUGCGGACGUUGGGAUGAAAGGAGCAAUUCGCUCCAGGAGGAGCCCGCGGCUGAUUAGCUAGUUGGUGAGGUAAUGGCUCACCAAGGCAACGAUCAGUAUCCGGUCUGAGAGGACGGUCGGACACACUGGAACUGAGACACGGUCCAGACUCCUACGGGAGGCAGCAGUGGGGAAUUUUUGGCAAUGGGCGCAAGCCUGACCAAGCAACGCCGCGUGGGUGAUGAAGUCUCUUGGGACGUAAAACCCUUUCGACGGGGAAGAAACCGCAAGGUUGACGGUACCCGUAGAAGAAGCCCCGGCUAACUCCGUGCCAGCAGCCGCGGUAAUACGGGGGGGGCAAGCGUUGUUCGGAAUUACUGGGCGUAAAGGGUGCCUAGGCGGUGCGUUAAGUCGGAUGUGAAAACUCUGGGCUCAACCCAGAGCCUGCAUCCGAAACUGGCGUGCUAGAGUUCUGGAGGGGAUAGCGGAAUUCCUGGUGUAGCGGUGAAAUGCGUAGAUAU
rnacentral:rRNA from 1 species